GUGCCAGCCGCGGCGGUAAUACGGAGGGUGCAAGCGUUAAUCGGAAUUACUGGGCGUAAAGCGCACGCAGGCGGUCUGUUAAGUCAGAUGUGAAAUCCCCGGGCUUAACCUGGGAACUGCAUUUGAAACUGGCAGGCUUGAGUCUCGUAGAGGGGGUAGAAUUCCAGGUGUAGCGGUGAAAUGCGUAGAGAUCUGGAGGAAUACCGGUGGCGAAGGCGGCCCCCUGGACGAAGACUGACGCUCAGGUGCGAAAGCGUGGGAGCAAACAGGAUUAGAUACCCUGGUAGUCCACGCCGUAAACGAUGUUGACUUGGAGGUUGUUCCCUUGAGGAGUGGCUUCCGGAGCUAACGCGUUAAGUCGACCG
rnacentral:rRNA from 1 species